rnacentral:rRNA from 1 species
GCGAACGGGUGAGUAACGCGUGGGAACUUCCAUUAAGUUCGGGAUAACUCUCCGAAAGGAGAGAUAAUACCGGAUGUGUCCAGCACCAGUUGCAAAACUGGAGCUGGGUAAAGAUUUAUCGCUUAAUGCAAGGCCCGCGUCCCAUCAGCUAGUUGGUAGGGUAAAAGCCUACCAAGGCUAUGACGGGUAGCGGAAGCGAGAGCUUGAUCCGCCACACUGGGACUGCGACACGGCCCAGACUCCUACGGGAGGCAGCAGUUUGGAAUUUUGGACAAUGGGCGAAAGCNUGAUCCAGCGACGCCGCGUGCGGGACGAAGGCNUUCGGGUCGUAAACCGCUUUUAGCAGGGACGAAUUUUUGACGGUACCUGCAGAAUAAGAGGUUGCUAACUCUGUGCCAGCAGCAGCGGUAAUACAGAGACCUCAAGCGUUAUCCGGAAUCAUUGGGCGUAAAGCGUGCCGAUAGGUGGUUUUGUUAGUCUUGGGUAAAAGCCAGAAGCUUAACUUCUGAGUUUGCUUAAGAUACUGCAAAACUAGAGGGGCAAAGAGGUGCUUGGAACGAACGGUGUAGUAGUGAAAUGCGUUGAUAUCGUUCGGAACACCGAAAGCGAAGGCAGAGCACUGGGUGCCACCUGACACUGCUAGGACGAAAGCGUGGGUAGCGAAUGGGAUUAGAUACCCCAGUAGUCCACGCUGUAAACGAUGAAUACUAGGCAUGCGCGAGUAUCGACCCUCGUGCGAGCCGUAGCUAACGCGUUAAGUAUUCCGCCUGGGGAGUACGGUCGCAAGACUAAAACUCAAAGGAAUUGACGGGGACCCGCACAAGCGGUGGAGCAUGUGGUUUAAUUCGACGGUAAGCGAGGAACCUUACCAAGGCUUGACAUUCUUCUGCAAGCGCACGGAAACGUGUGACCUUCGAGGGUGAAGAACAGGUGCUGCACGGUUGUCGUCAGCUCGUGUCGUGAGAUGUUCCCUUAAGUGGGAGAACGAGCGCAACCCCCGUGAUAUGUUGAUUUUCAUAUCAGACUGCCAGCGUUUAAGCUGGAGGAAGGUGGGGAUGACGUCAAAUCAGCGUGGCUCUUACGCCUUGGGCUACACACGUGCUACAAUGGAUAGGAACAAAGGGACGCAAUACCGCAAGGUGGAGCAAAUCCUCUCAAAAACUAUCCUCAGUUCGGAUUGAGGGCUGCAACUCGCCCUCAUGAAGCUGGAAUCGCUAGUAACCG